GCCGAGGUGGCGGAAUUGGCAGACGCGCCAGCCUUAGGAGCUGGUAUCCGCAAGGAUGUGUGGGUUCGACCCCCACCCUCGGCA
rnacentral:tRNA from 1 species